GUAUGCCAUUCCUCCCAGAAGUCAGGCCGCGGCUCACAAUGACAAAGAAGAGCAGUCCCAGCCUCUGCACUACUUCUGGCUUCAUUUCCACAUCAGCAGAAAGGGCUUCCCCAGAUGUGAGCAGUCAUAGAGGGGACAUUGCUUACGGCUCUCGGGUGGCUGGCCAGGCUGACUAAGCACGCUUACCGAUCCCGCACACUGUUUAGAAUCACAAUGAGCUGGAAACUGCGUGCCAAGACGUGAGCGAUCCAGGGAGCAGUUACUCAUUUUUAAGCCAGCAGUAUGAACUAUCCCAUGAGCAAUUGCAGCUCCAUUAUCAGCUCCCAAAUAAUCCACCUCUGAUGCAGUGGUUCUGACUUCCUAGCGACCGCCUGUCUAGAAAUAUUUGUGAAAGCAGCUCUCUGCACAAACAUACCUUCAGGAUCCAAUCUGAGGGGUUCUACAAAGUGAGGAAACAUCUUCAAGAAUCAACCUACAUUGUCAUAUUUUUUGCAAAGGAGUUUAUCACAGCUAUGCGGGUAUUAGACAGUGCCAACAUCUCCCUCACUGAAUCUGGGAUCGUAAAAAGUCUCUGAUUUCUGUCUACAUAUUGUCUUAGCAAGGAAAGAAAAUGUUUUCUUGAAACUUGGCUGAAUAUUGAAUGAGCUUUAAUCACUGGGAUGCAGAAGACAGUUACUGAGGUUAUGGUUGCACACAAAAUUGCAGUGAUUGAAAUGAAGAUUGGAAACUGUUAGAAUUGUUCAAGCCUGUAUCUGUCUCAGAUCAGGUUCCAUAUACCCUUCUUCAUAGGUAAGAGGUAACACGUCUUGAUUCUUACACAGUUUUCACACCGUUCCACAUGAUGGUGUGGCCCCUUAGCAAACAAAGAAAUACAGUUAAGAUGAAAUCCUCAAAAAGUAGGUGCAUGACUCAUUACAAAGAUACCUUUGGAAACAUUUAUCAAUUGUUCCUUGUCAUUCGGAGAGGAAUUUUCAAACGGGCUUCUCCCAACAUCUGUGUGGAAUCCAUUUUAUGCAGUAUUUUCAUUAACAACCUGUGACAAGGGAAUAAAGAGUACUCAUAAAAUCUGCAGACAUCAUCUAGCUGGGAGAGGAUGCAAACAGUUUGGCGGAUGGACUGAGAAUUCAAAAUGAUCUCGCUAAAUUGGAGAAAAUCAGCGACUCAGUAAAGAAAAGUACAAAGUGCUACACUUAAGAGAAGGAAAUCAAAAGCACAAAGAGAAAAUGGGGAAUAAACGGCCAGACAGCAGCACGGCAGAAAGGCAGCUCAGGGUGUGAGCCAUGGACUGAAUAGGAGUCAACAGUACGACGCUGUUCCAAAAAAAGGCAAAGCUAAUGCUGGCUGUUGGGCGUGUGACACAUCAGGUAACUGUUUUGCCCCUCCUCGCACAGGAAGGCUGUACACAAACUGAAGAUCUCAGAGCUGAGCAGCGAAUCUGAGAAGAGGUUUUGAAAGCGUGUUCUGUGAAGAAAGAUUCAGAAUUGCUUAAGAAAGGUGAGGCUACAGAAUAGUAUGGUCAUUGUUGGCUUAUCAAAAUGAAACUUUUUCUCGGACCACUGGGAGCAGGAUAAGAAGACAUUUCUGCUUCAGAUCAAGUACUCAAGUAAUGCAUGAAAACCACUGCCAUUUAGUUACAGUGUUGUUCAGCACGUUGUGACAAACUUCAUCGGGGAUAUCCUAGGUUUGCUCAGGCCUGCCAGCAGGCAGCUAAUGAAGGAUGAAGAUGGAAACAAGCCCAAGGCGUAUGUCCAGGGUGGCCACAAUUGAAUUGUGCCACCCCAGGAAUGAAGACAAAAUGAUUUAUUUUGUUACAAAGCCUGGAGAUGGCAAUAUUUAGUUUGACAGUGAGGGCAGAGCAACUUCCUUCUAUCAUCUACUAAAUUAGAGAGAAACCCUGUGGCAGCCGGUGCAAAAAGGCCAUGAAUUAAGUUCCCAGCCCCUUCUGAAGCUCCGUCUGAACAUCUUGGUGAGGAGAUCCCAGGAGGUUUCUGGGGAACAAUAAAAAGUGCCUAAGCUCUCACCAGUGCAGAGAGUCUCUGCUUUUAGUCUCUUG